rnacentral:rRNA from 1 species
GGACUACACGGGUAUCUAAUCCUGUUUGCUCCCCACGCUUUCGUGCCUGAACGUCGGUGCUGGACCAGGAAGCCGCUUUCGCCACUGAUGUUCCUUCCGAUAUCUACGCAUUUCACCGCUACACCGGAAAUUCCGCUUCCCUCUUCCGCACCCCAGCUACGCAGUCUCGAAUGCAAUUCCCAGGUUGAGCCCGGGGAUUUCACAUCCGACUUACGCAACCGUCUACGCACGCUUUACGCCCAGUAAUUCCGAUUAACGCUCGCACCCUCUGUAUUACCGCGGCUGCUGGCAC